rnacentral:rRNA from 1 species
AUUGAAGGCCGGCGGCAGGCCUAACACAUGCAAGCCGAACGAGCGGCGGACGGGUGAGCAACGUCUGGGAAACUGCCCGAUGGAGGGGGAUAACUACUGGAAACGGUAGCUACUACCGCAUACCAUCGGAUGUGUCCAGAGGGGAUUGGCUAGUAGGUGGGGUAAUGGCUCACCGAGGCGACGAUCCCUGGCUUGUCUCAGAGGAUGACCAGUCAAACGGGAGCUAAGACACGAUCCAGACUCCUACGGAGGGCAGCAGUGGAGAAUAUUGCACGAUGGGCGCGAGCCUGAUGCAGCCAUGCCGCGUGUAUGAAGAAGGCCUGCGGGUUGUGAAGUACUUUCAGCAGGGAAGCGUUGCUCGCAGAAAAAGCAACGGCUAACUCCGUGGCAGCAGCCGCGGUAAUAC